rnacentral:rRNA from 1 species
GACUCAUGAAUUUGGUGAUUAUGAUAACAUAAGGGAAAAAAAUGAUGUUACCUUAUUAUUAGUGUUGUCCAAAACUGGUGCCAGAAGACUCGGUAAGACCAGAGACGCAAACGUUAGUCAUCUUAAUCAGGCGUAAAGGGUGUGUAGGCUGCUUUAAAAGUUUAUUUUUUUAAAUAGCUCUGUAACCGUAAUACUCUCUAAUUUGGGUAGUAUAUAAAAUUUAUAAUUAAAUAAAUGAUAUUUAAAUAAUAUCCGUGUCUC